GACGAACGCUGGCGGCGCGCUUAACACAUGCAAGUCGAGCGAAGCGGCGGACGGGUGAGUAACACGUGAGUAACCUGCCUUAGACAUUGGGAUAGCCUCGGGCAACCGGGAAUAAUACCAAAUGGUCUAAGAUGGACUCGCGUCCCAUUAGCUAGUUGGGAGGUAACGGCCCACCAAAGCGACGAUGGGUAGCCGGCCUGAGAGAGUGGACGGCCACAUUGGAACUUGGAAGCGGUCCAAACUCUACGGGAGGGAGCAGUGGGUAAUAUUGCACAAUGGAGGGAACUCUGAUGCAGCGACGCCGCGUGAACGAAGAAGGCUUUCGAGUCGUAAAGUUCUUUUAUAUGGGAAGCGGUACCAUAAGAAAAAGCCCCGGCUAACUACGUGCCAGCCGCCGCGGUAAUUC
rnacentral:rRNA from 1 species